rnacentral:rRNA from 1 species
GACGAACCGUGCGAACGUUAUUCGGAAUCACUGGGCCUAAAGCGCGUGUAGGCGGGCCGGCACGUCCGACGCUGAAAUCCCCCGGCUCAACCGGGGAAGGGGCGCGGAUACGUCCGGCCUGGAGGGGGGUAGGGGGAGCGGGAACUGCCGGUGGAGCGGUGAAAUGCGUUGAGAUCGGCAGGAACGCCCGCGGCGAAAGCGCGCUCCUGGACCCCACCUGACGCUGAGACGCGAAAGCCAGGGGAGCGAACGGG